GAUGAACGCUGGCGGCGUGCCUAAUACAUGCAAGUCGAGCGAACAGACGAGGAGCUUGCUCCUCUGACGUUAGCGGCGGACGGGUGAGUAACACGUGGAUAACCUACCUAUAAGACUGGGAUAACUUCGGGAAACCGGAGCUAAUACCGGAUAAUAUAUUGAACCGCAUGGUUCAAUAGUGAAAGACGGUUUUGCUGUCACUUAUAGAUGGAUCCGCGCCGCAUUAGCUAGUUGGUAAGGUAACGGCUUACCAAGGCAACGAUGCGUAGCCGACCUGAGAGGGUGAUCGGCCACACUGGAACUGAGACACGUUCCAGACUCCGACGGGAGGCAGCAGUAGGGAAUCUUCCGCAAUGGGCGAAAGCUUGACGGAGCAACGCCGCGUGAGUGAUGAAGGUCUUCGGAUCGUAAAACUCUGUUAUUAGGGAAGAACAAAUGUGUAAGUAACUAUGCACGUCUUGACGGUACCUAAUCAGAAAGCCACGGCUAACUACGUG
rnacentral:rRNA from 1 species